AUUGAGUAUUGAAAUGACUUAUUUACCCUUGUGAGGGUGUAGGUGUGAAUAAUAAGCCAUGAGGGCAUUUUGGUCAUUUGACCCCUAUUUACUAUGUUUGAUUAAAAUUGAUUUUUAAUGAAAUGAAAUGCAAAAUUCUGGUUUUACUUUCACUCUUGGCCGACCCCCUCUCUCUCCCAAACCCUCUUAUUAUUUCAAGUUGAAUUUGAAGAAAAGCUUGGUUCUUAGCUUGUUUUGGAGCUUUGAAGUUGUGAAUUCUUGAGCUUGGAGUUGAGGAAAGGGUAAGGCAUUAGCUGAUCAGCCAUGAGUUUCAGGAGCAGGGCGAAGAAUGUACAUGUUCAUGCCACUUCAGACCAAGCGGGUUAUGGGUCUAACAGUGUUGACUUUUGUAUUCUGUUUUGCCGCUUAGGUCGGCUAGUAAGAAAGAACUUGUAAUAAGUUUGUAAAUAUUUUUGGGAUCCCAACUAUUUUGAAAAGUUUAAAUAUAUUACAAGUUUAUUUUCA